GAGAUUGUAGUGUAAUUUUGCACAAUUGAUUUUCAUUCAAUUAGUAUAUAUCUGUUAUCUUUCUUA